rnacentral:rRNA from 1 species
UAGGGAAUCUUCCGCAAUGGACGAAAGUCUGACGGAGCAACGCCGCGUGAGUGAAGAGGGAUUUCGGUUCGUAAAACUCUGUUGUUAGGGAAGAAAAAAUGUAUAGUAACUAUAUACAAAAGAGACGGUACCUAACCAGAAAGCCACGGCUAACUACGUGCCAGCAGCCGCGGUAAUACGUAGGUGGCAAGCGUUGUCCGGAAUUAUUGGGCGUAAAGCGCGCGCAGGUGGUUUAGAAAGUCUGAUGUGAAAGCCCACGGCUCAACCGUGGAGGGUCAUUGGAAACUAAUAAACUUGAGUGCAGGAGAGAAAAGUGGAAUUCCUAGUGUAGCGAUGAAAUGCGUAGAGAUUAGGAGGAACACCGGUGGCGAAAGCGGCUUUUUGGCCUGCAACUGACACUGAGGCGCGAAAGCGUGGGGAGCAAACAGG